ACGUUGAGGGAAUUAACCACCCUCGUAUAU
rnacentral:guide_RNA from 1 species